rnacentral:rRNA from 1 species
AACGAACGCUGGCGGUAUGCUUAACACAUUGCAAGUCGAACGCAGUAGUAAUACUGAGUGGGCGGACGGGUUGAGUAACACGUGGGAACUUGCCAAAUGGUGGGGGGAUAACUGUGGGAAACUGCAGCUAAUACCGGCAUAAGCCCUGAGGUGGAAAGAUUUAUUGCCAUUUGAUAGGCCCGCGCCGGGAUUAGGUAGUU